AGUGUUCUGAUUGGAGGAGGCUGUAGAUAGUGUUCUGAUUGGAGGAGGCUGUAGAUAGUGUUCUGAUUGGAGGAGGCUGUAGAUAGUGUUCUGAUUGGAGGAGGCUGUAGAUAGUGUUCUGAUGGGAGGAGGCUGUAGAUAGUGUUCUGAUGGGAGGAGGCUGUAGAUAGUGUUCUGAUGGGAGGAGGCUGUAGAUAGUGUUCUGAUUGGAGGAGGCUGUAGAUAGUGUUCUGAUGGGAGGAGGCUGUAGAUAGUGUUCUGAUGGGAGGAGGCUGGUGGCUGUAGAUAGUGUUCUGAUUGGAGGUGGCUGUAGAUAGUGUUCUGAUUGGAGGAGGCUGUAGAUAGUUUUCUGAUUGGAGGUGGCUGUAGAUAGUGUUCUGAUGGGAGGAGGCUGUAGAUAGUGUUCUGAUGGGAGGAGGCUGUAGAUAGUGUUCUGAUUGGAGGAGGCUGUAGAUAGUGUUCUGAUUGGAGGAGGCUGUAGAUAGUGUUCUGAUGGGAGGAGACUGUAGAUAGUGUUCUGAUGGGAGGUGGCUG
ensembl:lncRNA